GGAUCUCUAUUUAUAGGCAGAGGCUGAGAUGCCCUGAGGAGGAAGGAGAAUCAGAUUAUUAGUCUCGUCUGAUUGGAUAAGAUAUGAUUGUUUUCUCCUGUCUUAUCUAGUGAGAUAUAUUUGUUAUCCUCUGCUCUAUCUAGAGAGAUACGUUAUUAUCUCCUUCUUUAUCUGUUCAUAACAUAUUGUUAUGUGGAUUUUGAGAUUUUUCUUACUUGGAUCGGCCAGCAUCA
rnacentral:lncRNA from 1 species